rnacentral:tRNA from 1 species
UCCCUCUUAGCUCAGUUGGUAGAGCGCGUCACUAGUACUAUCGGAGUUCAUGACGAGGUCAGUCGUUCAAAUCGGCUAGCGGGAA